AACGCACAUUGCGCCCGCCAGUAUUCUGGCGGGCAUGCCUGUCCGAGCGUCAUUUCAACCCUCGAACCCCUCCGGGGGGUCGGCGUUGGGGAUGCGGCACCCCUCACACGGGUGCCGGCCCCGAAAUACAGUGGCGGUCUCGCCGCAGCCUCUCCUGCGCAGUAGUUUGCACAACUCGCACCGGGAGCGCGGCGCGUCCACGUCCGUAAAACACCCAACUUUCUGAAAUGUUGACCUCGGAUCAGGUAGGAAUACCCGCUGAACUUAA
rnacentral:misc_RNA from 1 species